rnacentral:rRNA from 1 species
AGUGAACGCUGGCGGUAGGCCUAACACAUGCAAGUCGAACGGCAGCACAGUAAGAGCUUGCUCUUACGGGUGGCGAGUGGCGGACGGGUGAGGAAUACAUCGGAAUCUACUUUUUCGUGGGGGAUAACGUAGGGAAACUUACGCUAAUACCGCAUACGACCUACGGGUGAAAGCAGGGGAUCUUCGGACCUUGCGCGAUUGAAUGAGCCGAUGUCGGAUUAGCUAGUUGGCGGGGUAAAGGCCCACCAAGGCGACGAUCCGUAGCUGGUCUGAGAGGAGGAUCGGCCACACUGGAGCUGGGACACGGUCCAGACUCCUACGGGAGGCAGCAGUGGGGAAUAUUGGACAAUGGGCGCAAGCCUGAUCCAGCCAUACCGCGUGGGUGAAGAAGGCCUUCGGGUUGUAAAGCCCUUUUGUUGGGAAAGAAAAGCAGCAGGUUAAUACCCCGCUGUUCUGACGGUACCCGAAGAAUAAGCACCGGCUAACUUCGUG